GCCCGACUGGCGCAAUUGGCUAGCGCAUCUGACUUCUAAUCAGAAGGCUGCGGGUUCGACCCCCGCGUUGGGUG
rnacentral:tRNA from 1 species